rnacentral:rRNA from 1 species
UACGGGGGGGGUAAGCGUUGUUCGGAAUUACUGGGCGUAAAGGGCUCGUAGGCGGCCAACUAAGUCAGACGUGAAAUCCCUCAGCUUAACUGGGGAACUGCGUCUGAUACUGGAUGGCUUGGAUUCGGGAGAGGAAUGCGGAAUUCCAGGUGUAGCGGUGAAAUGCGUAGAUAUUGGGAGGAACACCAGUGGCGAAGGCGGCUCGCUGGACCGGAACUGACGCUGAGGCGCGAAAGCGUGGGGAGCAAACAGG